rnacentral:rRNA from 1 species
UCCUGGCGGCGAGUGGCGAACGGGUGAGUAAUACAUCGGAACGUGCCCAAUCGUGGGGGAUAACGCAGCGAAAGCUGUGCUAAUACCGCAUACGAUCUACGGAUGAAAGCAGGGGAUCGCAAGACCUUGCGCGAAUGGAGCGGCCGAUGGCAGAUUAGGUAGUUGGUGAGGUAAAGGCUCACCAAGCCUUCGAUCUGUAGCUGGUCUGAGAGGACGACCAGCCACACUGGGACUGAGACACGGCCCAGACUCCUACGGGAGGCAGCAGUGGGGAAUUUUGGACAAUGGGCGAAAGCCUGAUCCAGCCAUGCCGCGUGCAGGAUGAAGGCCUUCGGGUUGUAAACUGCUUUUGUACGGAACGAAACGGCCUUUUCUAAUAAAGAAGGCUAAUGACGGUACCGUAAGAAUAAGCACCGGCUAACUACGUGCCAGCAGCCGCGGUAAUACGUAGGGUGCAAGCGUUAAUCGGAAUUACUGGGCGUAAAGCGUGCGCAGGCGGUAAUGUAAGACAGUUGUGAAAUCCCCGGGCUCAACCUGGGAACUGCAUCUGUGACUGCAUUGCUGGAGUACGGUA